GGUGAAAAGAACCUGAAACCGUUAUGGGGGAAGCGUAUUGGGUCAAAUUGAUUUGGGGGAGUGCUGCUGUUCAACGGGGUGAUUCCCGUGUACUCAGUGCAUUUUCUUACCCGUCGUGUGCUUUGGAUGGUCGAUUUUGGGCUGUCUGGGGCUGAGGGAUCCCCUUUUAUAGGGUGAAGACGAUGGGGCGCUGACACGAUACGACCCGUCUUGAAACACGGACCAAGGAGUUCAGCAUGUGUGCGAGUCAAAGGGUGAUUAAACCUGGGGGCGCAGUGAAAGCAACUUUUGUGUAAGGGAAUCCAACAUUAAGCAGUUUCAGGCGGCAUACGAUCGUUGAUUGUAGGACUGACCUAGAGCACAUGUGCUGAGACCCGAAAGAUGGUGAACUAUGCCGGAGUAGGGCGAAGCCAGAGGAAACUCUGGUGGAGGCUCGUAGCGGUGCUGACGUGCAAAUCGCUCGUCUGACUCGGGUAUAGGGGCGAAAGACUAAUCGAACCAUCUAGUAGCUGGUUUCCUCCGAAGUUUCUCUCAGGAUAGCAGGCCGACGAAUAAGCAUGAAGUCUCAGUUGUUGUGUGCGGUAAAGCGAAUGAUUAGCGUAUUUGGGGGUGAUUAGCCUUCAGACGAUUCUCAAACUUUAAAUGCGCACGGAUGUUGCCGCUUGGGUGG
rnacentral:rRNA from 1 species